GAAUGUUUUUCUCAACUAUGAAUCUGACUUCACUCCCUUUCUUGAAAACCUCCUGUAGUUCCUGUUGUGUACGGGAUAAAGACUGUGAGCCCCUGGAGUUCAGGGACCAUUUCUUAAUCAUAUUCCAGAACCUAUCACAAUGAAUGACACGAAGAAUAUAUUUGAUAAAAAUCUGAUGAAUGAACCACUCUAAAAUGCAACUCUAAUAAAGAAAAUUACUGCCUAUUCAGUUGGAACUGUACCAUGUUACAAACGUAAAAUUAUGUAUAGUCUGAUAAAGAAAUACUAUAAUAGCCUUGGAAACAGCUCACAUACAAUUUUUUUUAUAAAUGGAUUCAUUACCAUAUAACUGGACCAGCUUACUGAAGAGUAGCCCUACAGCAGUCACUUCGCAGUUUGCAAUUCAUUUGAGGUUCAAAGCUAGCUCAAGGGAAAACAACGUGCUUACCAUGGGGCUGCGCAGGUGGAAAGCAGCCCAGUCUUACUAUGAGGAUGUCCGUUUGCCAUCUGGGAACAAGGAGGAAGAAGCAGAGACCUGGGCAAGACCUCAGAGAAUAAAUUAUCUCAAUGGCUACUUACAUGGUCCAGCAUAGCAGAAAAAAAAGCCACACUGAGCAAGCAGUGGUCCUUUCCAUGCUACACAAGCAAGAAAUGCCUAUAAAGACAGACUUGAGUGCAGUCUAAAGAAUCUUUUGCUUUGCCUUAACACUCUACUUCUGGAUAUCCUUGCUCAAAAAGAAGUCUACUCAAGACAGGGAGGUUCCUGUGGACAGAAACAUCUGCUUCCUGCUUAUCCUGUAUCUCAGCAUCUGAAUGGUCAUGACUGGAACACAGGCAGACUUCAGAAAUAAAUACAUAAAUAUCUCA
ensembl:lncRNA SMYD3-AS1 SMYD3 antisense RNA 1